rnacentral:tRNA from 2 species
GGGUCGGUAGCUCAGUUGGUAGAGCGCCUGCCUUUUAAGCAGGAUGUCCUGGGUUCGAAUCCCAGCCGACCCACCA